rnacentral:rRNA from 1 species
GAUGAACGCUGGCGGCGUGCCUAAUACAUGCAAGUCGAGCGAACAGACGAGGAGCUUGCUCCUCUGACGUUAGCGGCGGACGGGGGAGUAACACGUGGAUAACCUACCUAUAAGACUGGGAUAACUUCGGGAAACCGGAGCUAAUACCGGAUAAUAUAUUGAACCGCAUGGUUCAAUAGUGAAAGACGGUUUUGCUGUCACUUAUAGAUGGAUCCGCGCCGCAUUAGCUAGUUGGUAGGGUAACGGCUUACCAAGGCAACGAUGCGUAGCCGACCUGAGAGGGUGAUCGGCCACACUGGAACUGAGACACGGUCCAGACUCCUACGGGAGGCAGCAGUAGGGAAUCUUCCGCAAAGGGCGAAAGCCUGACGGAGCAACGCCGCGUGAGUGAUGAAGGUCUUCGGAUCGUAAAACUCUGUUAUUAGGGAAGAACAAAUGUGUAAGUAACUAUGCACGUCUUGACGGUACCUAAUCAGAAAGCCACGGCUAACUACGUG